GAAAUAUCUAGUUUUUAGCACAAGAAGAUUUUGGAAGUUGGCAAUUUGGAGUUGGAUAGGGGUUCUCUGAUAUCUAGAGAUCUACUUGUUGGAUUAAGGUGAAAUUUGGCAUGGUAUUGAAGGACUUGAAGAUCAAGGUGCACAAAAAUUUUGAGUCAAAGUUAACGGUUGGAGAAGGAAAAAUCACUGCUGGGUUUUUUGCUUCACUUUUUAAGUUGGCAGCCGAGUGACAUCACUGCAAUUUUUGGAGGUUUUUUCAUAAUUUGUAUGUUGAAUUGGGCUAAAAAUUCUUAAGCAUGUAGAAGACUUAUAUUGACAAUUGCAUGCAAAAUUUUACAUUAAGUGUAUGGUCAAAUUAGAAGUUAUAACUUUUUAAAUCUCACUGAUUACGAUUGGGGCUUAUUAAAAAAAUUUGAAUUAUUUAAAUAUGAAAGUAACAAGGUAAUUGAGGUUUAUGUUUGAUUGAGGCUAGUAAGAAGAGUUUUUUUUAAUACUUUUGAAUGAAAAUUUGGAUUAUAUUCUUUUCAUGUGGAUGAAACCUUUUAAGAUUUUUUGGAUGUUUGUGAAAUACAACCUCACUUUCUACAGCUAGGUGCCUAAUGCAUUCCCAAGUAAGACAAUUUGUAAUAUGAUAUAAGUAGUGAAAUUGACAUGAAAAGGCUUGGAGUGGAAGGUAUUUGGUUAUUUUAGAUUAUUUGAACUAUGGAAAAAGAAGACAAGAGA
rnacentral:lncRNA from 1 species